ACCUUCGGGCCUUGCGCGAUUGAAUGAGCCGAUGUCGGAUUAGCUAGUUGGCGGGGUAAAGGCCCACCAAGGCGACGAUCCGUAGCUGGUCUGAGAGGAUGAUCAGCCACACUGGAACUGAGACACGGUCCAGACUCCUACGGGAGGCAGCAGUGGGGAAUAUUGGACAAUGGGCGCAAGCCUGAUCCAGCCAUACCGCGUGGGUGAAGAAGGCCUUCGGGUUGUAAAGCCCUUUUGUUGGGAAAGAAAUCCAGCUGGCUAAUACCCGGUUGGGAUGACGGUACCCAAAGAAUAAGCACCGGCUAACUUCGUGCCAGCAGCCGCGGUAAUACGAAGGGUGCAAGCGUUACUCGGAAUUACUGGGCGUAAAGCGUGCGUAGGUGGUCGUUUAAGUCCGUUGUGAAAGCCCUGGGCUCAACCUGGGAACUGCAGUGGAUACUGGGCGACUAGAGUGUGGUAGAGGGUAGCGGAAUUCCUGGUGUAGCAGUGAAAUGCGUAGAGAUCAGGAGGAACAUCCAUGGCGAAGGCAGCUACCUGGACCAACACU
rnacentral:rRNA from 1 species